rnacentral:rRNA from 1 species
CCCUUAGAUGUUCUGGGCCGCACGCGUGCUACACUGAGUGGAUCAGCGGGUCAGGUUGCGCGAAAGUGUUUCCUAAUCUUUAAAUCCGCUCGUGAUGGGGAUUGACGGUUGCAAUUUUCCGUCAUGAACGAGGAAUACCUUGUAAGCGCGGGUCAUCAUCCCGCGCUGAAUACGUCCCUGCCCUUUGUACACACCGCCCGUCGCUCCUACCGAUUGAGCGGUCCGGUGAGGCUUUGGGAUCUGAGCGGAAAGAGCGUUUCGCUGUUUCUGCUCGGAAAACUCAGUCGAACCUUAUCAUUUAGAGGAAGGAGAAGUCGUAACA